AAAAUUACUACUGCACAGAUCAAGCAAUUCUAGGCAAAGGAGGCCAGUUUGGAGCACAGUUUGGCCAAUGAAUAUGUACUCUUAUAAAACUGCUCUCAGUAACGUGUAUGCACAGAAAUGGUACAUUUCAUAUAGCCAAGCGUAAGUAGCUUUAUG